rnacentral:lncRNA from 1 species
GUUUCUCGCCAUUUAAACAUAGGAAUAAGCGCGUAUUGCCUCGGGCGAUAUUCGUCGCAUUUUAUAAAUUAUCUACAUAAUUAUCAUUAUUUAUGGACAUGGUAUUUUGCAUCGAUUUUUAUGUAACGGUAAAACAUUACAAAAAAAUUUCCUCUUCUUUUGAGCCUCGAUCUAAAGAGUUCCAAUCAUCAGUUAAAAGAUGGAAAAGUAAAACUAAAAGGGGCAAAGAAAGUUUGAGCGCCUGGUUCGGAUCCGAAAUGCUACCAGUCCACACCCACGGCUCUAAAUCAAACGUAGUCUCUGCACUCCACCAUUCAUCGGUCUAUGGUCAUUUUUGAAGACGGCAGUACAGUAGGCUUUUAUCUAUACCAGUAGUCCGAAACUCAAUCGCGCGCAAGCCGAAUAUUUUUAAACAAAAUGAUAAUAAAAGGUAAAUAUUUAUUUAUAAUUACUUUCACUUUUUCUUACCGAGAUAUCCAAAUAACAUUAUAUAAUUAUGAGAUUAUACACAGCGAUUUUAUUUUCGACUACUACUACUUGAC